CCUACGGGUGGCAGCAGUGAGGAAUAUUGGUCAAUGGACGCAAGUCUGAACCAGCCAAGUAGCGUGCAGGAUGACGGCCCUACGGGUUGUAAACUGCUUUUAUAUGGGAAUAAACUGAGGCACGUGUGCCGGGUUGUAUGUAUUUUAUGAAUAAGGAUCGGCUCACUCCGUGCCAGCAGCCGCGGUAAUACGGAGGAUCCGAGCGUUAUCCGGAUUUAUUGGGGUUAAAGGGAGGGUAGAUGGGUUGUUAAGUUAGUGGUGAAAUUUUGGGGCUCAAACGCGGAAUUGCACUCUAUAACUGCAGGAUUGGGGACAGGUGAGGUAGGGGGAAUUGGAGGGUGAGGCGGGAAAAG
rnacentral:rRNA from 1 species